AACGAACGCUGGCGGCAUGCCUAACACAUGCAAGUCGAACGAGACCUUCGGGUCUAGUGGCGCACGGGUGCGUAACGCGUGGGAAUCUACCCUUGGGUUCGGAAUAACAGUUAGAAAUGACUGCUAAUACCGGAUGAUGACGUAAGUCCAAAGAUUUAUCGCCCAAGGAUGAGCCCGCGUAAGAUUAGCUUGUUGGUGGGGUAAUGGCCUACCAAGGCGACGAUCUUUAGCUGGUCUGAGAGGAUGAUCAGCCACACUGGGACUGAGACACGGCCCAGACUCCUACGGGAGGCAGCAGUGGGGAAUAUUGUACAAUGGGCGAAAGCCUGAUCUAGCCAUGCCGCGUGAUCGAUGAAGGCCUUAGGGUUGUAAAGAUCUUUCAGGUGGGAAGAUAAUGACUGUACCACCAGAAGAAGCCCCGGCUAACUCCGUGCCAGCCGCCGCCGUAA
rnacentral:rRNA from 1 species